rnacentral:rRNA from 1 species
CCUACGGGCGGCAGCAGUGAGGAAUAUUGGUCAAUGGACGAGAGUCUGAACCAGCCAAGUAGCGUGAAGGAUGACUGCCCUAUGGGUUGUACACUUCUUUUAUAUGGGAAUAAAAUGUUCCACGUGUGGGAUUUUGUAUGUACCAUAUGAAUAAGGAUCGGCUAACUCCGUGCCAGCAGCCGCGGUAAUACGGAGGAUCCGAGCGUUAUCCGGAUUUAUUGGGUUUAAAGGGGGCGUAGGUGGAUUGUUAAGUCAGUUGUGAAAGUUUGCGGCUCAACCGUAAAAUUGCAGUUGAAACUGGCAGUCUUGAGUACAGUAGAGGUGGGCGGAAUUCGUGGUGUAGCGGUGAAAUGCUUAGAUAUCACGAAGAACUCCGAUUGCGAAGGCAGCUCACUGCAGCGGAACUGACGCUGAUGCUCGAAAGCGCGGGUAUCGAACAGGAUUAGAUACCCGAGUAGUC